rnacentral:rRNA from 1 species
AUUGAACGCUGGCGGCAUGCCUUACACAUGCAAGUCGAACGGCAGCACGGACUUCGGUCUGGUGGCGAGUGGCGAACGGGUGAGUAAUAUAUCGGAACAUACCUUGUAGUGGGGGAUAACUAUCUGAAAGGAUAGCUAAUACCGCAUACGCUCUAUGGAGGAAAGCGGGGGAUCGUAAGACCUCGUGCUAUAAGAGUGGCCGAUAUCUGAUUAGCUAGUUGGUGAGGUAAAGGCUCACCAAGGCGACGAUCAGUAGCUGGUCUGAGAGGACGACCAGACAGACUGGAACGGAGAAUCGGUCCAGACGCCUACGGGAGGCAGCAGUGGGGAAUUUUGGACAAGGGGGGGAACCCUGAUCCGGCAAUGCAGCGUAAGUGAAGAAGGCCUUCGGGUUGUAAAGCUCUUUUGUCAGUGAAGAAACGGUUGUGGCUAAUAUCCAUGGCUAAUGACGGUACCUGAAGAAUAAGCACCGGCUAACUACGUGCCAGCCGCCGCCGUAA